UGGAUGAUGGACAGACGGGUGGAUGACUGGAUGGAUGUAUGAAUGGAUGGGUGGAAAGCUGGAUGGAUGGAUGGACAGGUGAAUGGAUGAGUAGCUGGACAGUUAUUAUCCCACUCCCUUUUCCUCUCUCGUGUCAUCACAUUAGCCUGAUAAAACCAGUAAGAUCCAGCUCUGCCCACUGUACUCCAUGGCCCACACCGCGGGAGAAAAACAGAAGAUCACCCUGAACGAUUCACUUAAGUUCACUGACUCCUGAUAGAAGCAGGCCUGGCAUUGCCACUCAGCUGUCGCUCAGCUCUGGGUGACCAGUUAACUUACCCUCCUCAACCCUCCCUUCUCCGCUACCCUCGCUCUUGGCGAUACACGUCCACACUCACCUGUUGGCCUGCCUGCCUCAUGUCCUAGAGCCCAGCCCUUCUCACCAACACGUGCUCACGGUUCUGGUGACCCACGGCAAUCCCUCCCGUGACCGGGAUGGGAGAACCCCCUGGACCCUGCAGCCUCGUCAGCCUACACCCCCGAUUCACUGCUUCCCCACAGAGUCUCUUGAGUGAGCCGCCUGGACCUCUGGCUCCCAGUCCCUCUACUCCCACACUUUCUCAGCCCCACUCCCAACUGGCUUUCCCGGCACCGUUUCCCGAAACCACCUUCGUCAAGGUUCCCACGUCUGCCACGCUGAAAGCCUCGCUGGGCCUCAUCCCUCAGCAGCACUGGAGGUGCUGACCGCUCCUCUCUCCAGAGACACUGUCCUCUCUCGGUCUGGUCAAGCCACACUCUGUUCGUUCCCUGGCUUCGUUGGAAGUUCCUUCUACAUCUGCGUUACUGUCUCCUUCCCUCUCCCCAACCUGUAGAUGCUAGAGGCCCCCAAAGCCCAGUCCUUGGACCCUCUCUUCUGUGGCUAUCUUCACUACCUCAAGGUUCUGUCUCAAUUUUAAAAUAGCAGCUGUAUGUGGGCCAACCCCAAGUUCUAUCUCCAUCCCGGGCUCUUCCCCACAAUUCUGCGGUCUGCACGCCUCAUACGCACGAGUCGAGCUUGACCUCCCCCUCCCCAUGGUCCCCAUCAAACUGCCCCUCUUGAGGUCUUCCGCAUCUCAGGAAACACCCCUGCCCACAGGCCAGGGCUCAGCCCUACACCUGGGGUGACACCUUUCUGUCCACUGCAAACGAUCAAGCAGGAAGUCCUGUCGGCUGCACCUUCAACACGUGCCCAGAAUCCAACCACCUUGACCAACUCACCGCUCCCACCUGGGUCCGGCCCCCACGACGUUCCCGUCUCCCUGCUUCUGCCCCCGCCCCUACAGUCCGUCCUCUCCGAGUAAAAUCCAGAGUUCCGACGUGGCCCGUUGGCCCUGCCUGACCUGGACCCCCUAAUCUUGGGUCCUCACGUCCUGCUUCACCGUCCUCGCUUGUUCUCUACUGGUCACAAGGGUCCCUGCUGUCCCUUAAACAUCCAGUUCUGGCCUCAAGGAAUUUGCACUGGCUGUUCCUUCCGCAGGGACGCCGUUCCCCGCACACCCCAUGGAGGUCUCCCCUCCUUCAGGGUCACGUUCUCAGGGAAGUCCCCGCUUUGCACUCCCCAUCCCCCAACCUGGCUUUGCCCUUCUCUGUCUCAGAGUCCCGACAUGGCCAUCAUGCACGGUCUGCCUCCCGCCCCAGGACGUCGUCUCCAGGCAGACUUCACCUGUUGCCGAAUCAUCUCCUGCACCCAGAGCGUGAGGACACACAGUAGGACUGUGACAGAGGCGCACCUUGGGGACGAGCGAACGUGUCGUGACAGCAGUCACCAACAGAGCUAAAGAGGGAGUGGAGGCACGGAGGCAGAGACCAGGGCACCCGCCGGGGGUUCCGGAGCAGGUGAGGACACAGAGCCCUCCCGUCCCACACCCUCCGCUGCACGCGUGCUCACUCCAGAUGCGAGGGGGGGGCGGCCCGAGGCGAGUCUGCAGGCGGAGGGUGGUGGCCUGCCCGGUGCUGGGCUGGAACCCGCCCCCUUCCAGCUGCUGCCGGCUCACGAGGGCACGAGUGCCAACCCGGAACAUCGUUUUCCGACUCCUCGUUUGGUGACCUCACCUUGGCAGUGUGAGAUCGGCCAGGGAGGGAGCAUC